rnacentral:misc_RNA from 1 species
GCAAACUUGGUCAUUUAGAGGAAGUACAAGUCGUAACAAGGUUUCCGUAGGUGAACCUGCGGAAGGAUCAUUAACAAAUCGAUUUUGUAUGAUGUAUUAUAUAUAUCGUACAAAUAUAUAUGUGCGCCAGCAUGUAUAUUUACGUGCUGGAAUGCAAUAUUCAUGAUAUAGUGUAUAAAUAUAUAUAUGUGUGUGUGUGUGUGAAUGUUAAAUGCUAAACAUACUUUUAACAAUGGAUCUCUUGGCUCUUGCAUCGAUGAAGAACGCAGC